ACCUCUUGCACCGUGCGGAUAGCAGGAUUCUUGUAGUCCGACAACGCUGCAAUCCGCCAUCUUAAUAAAACCACACCCUUUUUUUACAUUGUGUCUUAUGGAAGUAUUUUUCUAAGUGCUUUUUCUCUUAGCUGGAUAUAAACUUCGACCAAAGAAAAAUAUAGGAAAAUACUACAUCAUUCAGGGCAUCCCCUAAAAUUUCAAAGUUGGUUUUAUCACAAGUGUGUUGUCAAAGGGUGUCCUUCUUCUUUUCAGCGCCCUGCGAUCAAUUUUAAGAGCUCAUUAAUGGGCUGAUCUCCUGAUUGAAUAGCCAGUAUCAUGUUGAUAUGUAUUUUUAAUGAUUUCAUAUUCUCAUUAUUCUGAGGUCGACACAUUCAACUCAAUUGCUGUUUCUGAUCUACUGGCUGUUGCACAUAAAUAUAACAGUUACAGGCUAGGGAUAAACUCACAGCAUUGGAGGUUUCACAGGAAUUCCAAAUAUCGAUUGUGUUGGCACAAGAAAGUCUUUAUUUCAUGGAAAGAAAUGGAUUGAUUUGUAGAGAUGAUACUGUUAGAGGCCUUGUCUUUUAUCCUAAUCUCUUCUCAAGUUCUGCUUAAUAAACAUUUAAAAAUUGUA
rnacentral:lncRNA from 1 species